UACAGAGGGUGCAAGCGUUAAUCGGAAUUACUGGGCGUAAAGCGUGCGUAGACGGUUAUGUAAGUCAGAUGUGAAAGCCCCGGGCUCAACCUGGGAAUUGCAUUUGAGACUGCAUAGCUAGGGUGCGGAAGAGGGAAGCGGAAUUUCCGGUGUAGCGGUGAAAUGCGUAGAUAUCGGAAGGAACACCAGUGGCGAAAAGCGGCUUCCUGGUCCAGCACCGACGUUCAGGCACGAAAGCGUGGGGAGCAAACAGG
rnacentral:rRNA from 1 species